rnacentral:rRNA from 1 species
GAGUUUGAUCCUGGCUCAGGAUGAACGCUAGCUACAGGCUUAACACAUGCAAGUCGAGGGGAAACGACAUCGAAAGCUUGCUUUUGAUGGGCGUCGACCGGCGCACGGGUGAGUAACGCGUAUCCAACCUGCCCACCACUUGGGGAUAACCUUGCGAAGGUAAGACUAAUACCCAAUGACGUCUCUAGAAGACAUCUGAAGGAGAUUAAAGAUUUAUCGGUGAUGGAUGGGGAUGCGUCUGAUUAGCUUGUUGGCGGGGUAACGGCCCACCAAGGCGACGAUCAGUAGGGGUUCUGAGAGGAAGGUCCCCCACAUUGGAACUGAGACACGGUCCAAACUCCUACGGGAGGCAGCAGUGAGGAAUAUUGGUCAAUGGACGAGAGUCUGAACCAGCCAAGUAGCGUGCAGGAUGACGGCCCUAUGGGUUGUAAACUGCUUUUAUAAGGGAAUAAAGUGAGUCUCGUGAGACUUUUUGCAUGUACCUUAUGAAUAAGGACCGGCUAAUUCCGUGCCAGCAGCCGCGGUAAUACGGAAGGUCCGGGCGUUAUCCGGAUUUAUUGGGUUUAAAGGGAGCGUAGGCCGGAGAUUAAGCGUGUUGUGAAAUGUAGACGCUCAACGUCUGCACUGCAGCGCGAACUGGUUUCCUUGAGUACGCACAAAGUGGGCGGAAUUCGUGGUGUAGCGGUGAAAUGCUUAGAUAUCACGAAGAACUCCGAUUGCGAAGGCAGCUCACUGGAGCGCAACUGACGCUGAAGCUCGAAAGUGCGGGUAUCGAACAGGAUUAGAUACCCUGGUAGUCCGCACGGUAAACGAUGGAUGCCCGCUGUUGGUCUGAAUAGGUCAGCGGCCAAGCGAAAGCAUUAAGCAUCCCACCUGGGGAGUACGCCGGCAACGGUGAAACUCAAAGGAAUUGACGG